rnacentral:rRNA from 1 species
GGCCAGCAUCAGUUUUGGCGGUGAUAUAAAUCCUCCGGAAUGUAGCUUGUCUCGGUUCGUAUUAUAGCCUAGGGGAAUACAGCCAGCUGGGACUGAGGACUGCGAUACUUGUUAUCUAGGAUGCUGCAUAAU